rnacentral:rRNA from 1 species
UACGGAGGGUGCAAGCAUUAAUCGGAUUAACUGGGCGUAAAGGGCGCGUAGGCGGCAAAUCAAGUCAGAUGUGAAAUUCCGAAGCUUAACUUCGGAGCUGCAUCUGAAACUGAUUAGCUAGUGGGUAGACGGAGAAAAUGGAAUUCCACAUGUAGCGGUGAAAUGCGUAGAUAUGUGGAGGAACACCGGUGGCGAAAGCGGUUUUCUAGUUUAUACCAGACGCUGAGGCGCGAAAGCGAGGGGAGCAAACAGG